UCGAAUACAAUAGAAGAUUAGUCUCCGAAUACAAUUCAUCAUAUUAGUCUCUGAAUUUAAAAUACCGAACAAAGUUAGAACAUUAAAAGUCUCGAGACCGCGAGUAGCGAGUUUAUCUUCACAUUACAAGUCAAUAUCGAUCAUCUAAACUACCAUCACAUAGAAGAGAGCUGCUGUCAUCACGAUGAGCAUAAUCGCGAUGAAACUGGUCUUCAUCCGAUUCCUCCAACGCUCCCUCCUCUCUCCCGCUAGAUAACGCG
rnacentral:lncRNA from 1 species